AUGGAGAAAAAUUACUUGAGGAGGUUAACAUUGGACUGGGAUAGUAAGCGAUCUAGUGUUGAGCCUGGUGUGGAAGCAACGGUUCUUGAGGGCCUUCAACCACAUGGAGAUCUUCAAGUGUUGUGCAUUAGAGGGCACAUAGGUCCUUCUUGUCCAACAUGGCUGGGUGAUGAGUUCGCAGUUGAAGGUCUACAAUCUCUUUAUCUGGAUGGUGUUUCUUGGGAACUUUUCCCUUCUUUAGGGAAGGCAUGGGAUCUUCGUGAAUUAAGGUUUGAGCAUAUUGACAGACUGAAGGAGUUUAUCAUAGAGAAAAGCUUUUGCGUGCUAACAAAGCUUAAACUCAUUGGCCUAGGAAGUUUUGAAAAUUGGGUUUACACAGGUGAACAAGAGUCUUCCAUUAGUGGAGAAUUGUUGCCACCGGAUGCUCAUAUGUUCCCUCUUUUGCAAGUUCUGGUUAUUAGAGAGUGCCCGAAACUAUUGGGGUUGCCUUUCUCAAACCACAUUGUUUCCCCAGAUUGGUUCCCCAAGCUACAAGAGCUUGAGGUACAUCACUGUCUUGAAUUCUUGCCAGUGAUCCCCAUAUCCUGGAUCAAAAGCCUGCGUUCUAUGAAGAUGAAAUAUGUAAAGAUGCUAAAGGAGUUUGUGCACUCAAAAUCAUCCGAUGGAGUUGAAUUGAAAAUUAUUGGAGAGGGUGAUCUGCAUAGCUUAGACCAAGUGCUGGUUUUUGAUAAAGAAACAAGUCUUGAGAAGCUGACACUUGAGAGGUGCCCACCUCUGGAGUUGAAGCACCUUCUGAUGCUAACCUCGCUGAGGACAUUGAUUGUAGAAAAUUCAGUUGGUCUAGUUGGACCACUAGGAAGAGGUCAGAGUGAUGUGGAAUGGCAGCUCCAUGUUGAGUGUAUCAAGAUCGAUGGCUUAACUGGUAAUACUGGCGAGGAACUGACAGAGCUCCUUCCCCACCUCCCAAAGCUCUCCAAAUUGGAAAUACGGAAGUGUAAAAACAUAAAAAAGCUGGUAGCGGGGGUGGAUGUGCAACAAACAACGUUAGAAGCAUCAGAGAUAACAGCAGCAGCAGAGGAAGAGGAUGAUGGGGUGCUGCUCUUCCCCGCUCAUCUCCGUGACUCACUACGGGAGUUGGUGAUCUUUAAAUGCCCAGAGCUGGUCCUGGUGGACCCGCCAACUCUUGUUCCUGGAGAAGGAUGGCUACAAGCCUUGCAAUCCCUCCAGAGAUUAACAAUACAGUGGUCCCCAAAGUUUCUAUCCACCUUCUCCUUUUCCUGUCACAUUUUCCCUUCCUCCCUGAACUAA
rnacentral:rRNA from 1 species